UACGUAGGUGGCAAGCGUUGUCCGGAUUUAUUGGGUUUAAAGGGAGCGUAGGCGGCCUGUUAAGUUAGUGGUGAAAUCGCACCGCUCAACGGUGUGCUCGCCAUUGAUACUGACGGGCUUGAGUGCGGUCGAGGGAGCUGGAAUGCGUAGUGUAGCGGUGAAAUGCAUAGAUCUUACGCAGAACGCCGAUUGCGAAGGCAGGCUCCUGGGGCGCAACUGACGCUGAGACACGAAAGUGUGGGGAGCGAACAGG
rnacentral:rRNA from 1 species